UACGGAGGGUGCAAGCGUUGCUCGGAAUUAUUGGGCGUAAAGGGCGGGUAGGUGGUCUCAUUUGUCUGGGGUGAAAUCCUUGAGCUUAACUCAAGAAGUGCCCCAGAAACGGUGAGACUGGAGUACUGGAGAGGGUCGUGGAAUUCCCGGUGUAGCGGUGAAAUGCGUAGAGAUCGGGAGGAACACCAGAGGCGAAGGCGGCGACCUGGACAGUUACUGACACUCAACUGCGAAAGCGUGGGGAGCAAACAGG
rnacentral:rRNA from 1 species